GGUUAAGCGACUAAGCGUACACGGUGGAUGCCCUGGCAGUCAGAGGCGAUGAAGGACGUGCUAAUCUGCGAAAAGCGACGGCGAGGUGAUAUGAACCUUUGACCCGUCGAUGUCCGAAUGGGGAAACCCAGUGUGAUUCGUCACACUAUCGUUAACUGAAUACAUAGGUUAACGAGGCGAACCGGGGGAACUGAAACAUCUAAGUACCCCGAGGAAAA
rnacentral:rRNA from 1 species